rnacentral:rRNA from 1 species
UACGUAGGGGGCGAGCGUUGUCCGAAGUUACUGGGCGUAAAGCGCGCGUAGGCGGCUUUCUAAGUCUGGGGUGAAAGGUUCAGCGCUCAACGCGAACAGUGCCCUGGAGACUGGGAGGCUUGAGUGUGGGAGGGGGUAGCGGAAUUCCUGGUGGAGCGGUGAAAUGCGCAGAUAUCAGGAGGAACACCAGUGGCGAAGGCGGCUCACUGGACCGGUUCUGACGCUGAGGCGCGAAAGCGUGGGGAGCAAACGGG